GACGAACGCUGGCGGCGUGCUUAACACAUGCAAGUCGAACGGUAAGGCCUUUCGGGGUACACGAGUGGCGAACGGGUGAGUAACACGUGGGUGAUCUGCCCUGCACUUCGGGAUAAGCUUGGGAAACUGGGUCUAAUACCGGAUAGGACCACGGUCUGCAUGGAUUGUGGUGGAAAGCUUUUGCGGUGUGGGAUGGGCCCGCGGCCUAUCAGCUUGUUGGUGGGGUGAUGGCCUACCAAGGCGACGACGGGUAGCCGGCCUGAGAGGGUGUCCGGCCACACUGGGACUGAGAUACGGCCCAGACUCCUACGGGAGGCAGCAGUGGGGAAUAUUGCACAAUGGGCGCAAGCCUGAUGCAGCGACGCCGCGUGGGGGAGUGACGGCCUCGGUUGUAACGUACUUCUAGCAGGACGAAGGGUAGG
rnacentral:rRNA from 1 species